rnacentral:rRNA from 1 species
AUUGAACGCUGGCGGCAUGCCUAACACAUGCAAGUCGAACGGUAAGAGGAAGAGGCUGGCUUCUUUGCGGUAGAGUGGGGGGCGGGUGAGAAAUGUCUGUGAAACAGCUUGAUGGAGGGGGAUAACUAGGGGAAACGGUAGCUAAAACCGCAUAACUUUUGAAGACCAAGGAGGGGGACCGUCGGGCGGCUUGGCUGUGGAUGAGAGCAGAAGCCGGGUGGGAUUAGCUAGUGGGUGAGGUAACGGCUGACCUAGGCCACGAUCCGUAGCUGGUCUGAGAGGAUGACCAGCCACACUGGAACUGAGACACGGUCCAGACUCCUACGGGAGGCAGCAGUGGGGAAUAUUGCACAAUGGGCGCAAGCCUGAUGCAGCCAUGCCGCGUGUAUGAAGAAGGCCUUCGGGUUGUAAAGUUCUUUCAGCGGGGAGGAAGGGAGUAAAGUUAAUCCCUUUGCUCAUUGACGUUACCCGCAGAAGAAGCACCGGCUAACUCCGUG